AUUGAACGCUGGCGGCGUGCUUAACACAUGCAAGUCGAGCGGUAACAGGCGUAGCAAUACGUGCUGACGAGCGGCGAACGGGUGCGUAAUACAUGGGAAUCUGCCCUUUGGUGGGGAAUAACCCGGCGAAAGCCGGGCUAAUGCCGCACAAGAUCUUCGGAUGAAAGCGGGGGAUCGUAAGACCUCGCGCCGAUGGAUGAGCCCAUGUCGGAUUAGCUAGUUGGUGAGGUAACGGCUCACCAAGGCGACGAUCCGUAGCUGGUCUGAGAGGACGGCCAGCCACACUGGGAGUGAGGAACGGCCCAGACUCCUACGGGAGGCAGCAGUGGGGAAUAUUGGACAAUGGGGGAAACCCUGAUCCAGCGACGCCGCGUGUGUGAAGAAGGCCUGCGGGUUGUAAAGCACUUUCGAUGGGAACGAAAUGUGCCGGGCUAAUACCCCGGCAAGCUGACGUUACUCAAUGAAGAAGCACCGGCUAACUCUGUGCCAGCCGCCGCAGUAAAAC
rnacentral:rRNA from 1 species